GUUUAAUUUUUUUGGUUUUACAUAUAUAUUAAUUUUUAAAAUAUACAUUUCUUUAUGAAUCAGGUUAUGCAAAAACAAUCAGAACAAAAGGGAAAAACCACAAAGGGGGAAAAAAAAAAAGAAGUGAAGAAGUGAACAUAGCAUGUGCUGAUUUACAUUUAAUCUCCAUGUUCGCUUUCUGAAUGCAGAUGGCAUUUUCUAUCCAAAAUUUAUUGGGAUUGUCUUGGAUUACUGAAUCACUGAGAAGAAUCAAGUCUUUCAUAGUUGAUCUCACAUUUCUUGCUGUUACUGUGUAUAAUGUAUUCUUGGUUCUGCUUGUUUAUCUCAGCAUCAGUUCAUGUAAAUCUUCUUAGGCCUUUCUAAAAUCAGCGUGCUCAUCAUUUUUUUAUAGAACAAUAAUAUUCCAUUACUUUCAUAUAUAACAAUUUAUUCAGCCAUUUGCCAUGCCAGAUACAAUAGACAGAAACAAAUGAGCCAUAACCUAGUGCUUGAUAAAACCCAAAGAUCACAGCUACUAAGGCAAGAAUUUAUGAUUUGACAAAAACUAAGGAAAAUUGGAAAGCAGUUUGGCAGAGACUAGAUCUAGAUUAACAUUUUAUAUGGUAUACUAGAACAAGCUUAAAAUGGGUGCAUGAUUUAGAAAUAAAAGAUAACAUUAGCAAAUUAAUGGGGCAUGAAAAGAAUUACCUGUAAGAUCUAUAGAUAGGGGAAGAGUCGAUGAACAAAUAAGAAGCAAGUUUCUGGGAGGUAAAAUGAAUAAUUUUGUUUAUAUAAAAUGUAAAAGUUUUUGCAUAAACAAAUCAAUGCAGUUAAAAAUUAGAAUGAAAGGAAAUUGGGAAAAAGUCUUUGUGGCAAGUUUUUUUGAAAAAGGUCUCAUUUCUAAGGGAAUUAAUUCAUUUCCCCAGUUGUCAAGUAGUCAAAGAAUGUGAAUAGGUAGUUUUUAGAAAAAGAAAUCCAAAAUUCUCAAUCACUAAAUCAACUCUUGAGGUACUACUUCACACACAUCAGAGAUUAACAAAGUUAACAAAAAAAGGAAAAUGAAAAAUACUGGUGGAAUAUGGAAAAGCAGGACACAAAUGCACUAUUGGUAGAAUCAAGUACAACAAUUCUGUAAAGUAAUUUGGAAGUAUCCUCCAAAAGUUAUUAAAUUGUGCAUGCUCUUUAACCCAGUAGUAUCAAUACUAGGUAUAUUCUCCAAAAUGAAAAGUAAUCUCAAAGAGGAUCUGAGGAGGGGUAUGACAGACUAGGAAGGCCUUUUGCAGAAGGAGGGAGUUUAGCUGAGUACAGAAGGAGGCCAUGGAAGUGAGGAGAUGGAGAUAAGAAGGGAGAGCAUUUCAAGAAAGAAUAGCCAGUGACAAGUUGAUUGCCAAGAUGGCCACCUGAAAUGAAAGCAGGAUGUCUAGCUCCCACAUAUCUAUUUCAGCAAAACUAGAAAGGUAAAUUAUUUGAACAUUUUUUACCUAGAGAACUACAUAAAAAGUCAGCUGCCUUAGCCUGCCCUUCCCAUCUGCUACACCACAUCCUCACUAGCCACACAAGUGUCAUUGUAGGGCAGUCUCCUCCUCUGAUCAAAGAUGACCUGGACACAUGGUAGAUAGCCUGAAAUUCUUAGUGUUUAGAAGCAAACAAUAAAGGUUGGUCUGAAAAACUCCCAGAAUAGUCAGAAAGCCCCAGGGUGGGGACCUUGGAAGCCCAGAGAGCAGCUGAAGGCAGUGACCAACAUGUCUGACCUAGAAAAUAGCUCAAGGAAAGAUAAUGCAACAAUCACUGAACUCACUGAAAAUCAUAAUUUAAAAAAUCCUGGACAUUUUAUUUCAAAAAAUCAUAAGUGAAAACUGCCCGGAUCUAUUAGAAACAGAGGGCAAAGUGAACCUAAAUUUAUUGAUCACUCCCAGAACUGUCAGAACCAAAAUCCAAAAGAUCCUUAUGAGAGAAAAAAUACUGCAAGUAUCCAGAAAACAGUUGAAGUACCAAGGAACCACAGUUAAGUUCCCAAAAGACCUAGCAGCUUCUACCAAACCAUAGAGGAAAACAACCUAGAAUCACUUACCCCAAAAAGCUGAACAGGGAAAAAACAAAGUUUUAAUGGGAUAGAGGACUUUCUAGUAUUACUGAUGAAAAGGCCAUAGUCAAGUAAGCAUUUUUGAAAUACAAACCUAAUUCUAGAGAAGUCUGCUUUGAUGCAGUGCUAACAUUCUAAUAAGGGAGAAGAAACAAAUAAAUGUCCCUUCAGAACUUUAAUGUUUUUAAAGGAUAUUGAGGGAGUAAAAUAAGAAAAAUAGAGAUCUUGGGGAUAAAUUGGUUUUAUUCCACAUAUUUGAGGAAGGGAAAGAGAAAAGAUGAUAAAAGGAGGAAUACAUUAGGGUACUUGUUAUAUCUAGUAAUUGAGAUUUGUGAGAAUAACAUACAAACAUGGAGGAAUGACUGUAGAGAAUGGGUAAUAUAUGAACUUUUAUCUGAAACAAAUAAAUGAAAGUUGCACACACACAUACAGUUUGGUACAGAAAUACAUUAAAUUCCACAGAUAAAUAAGUUACUGAAGUUGAGAGAGUUAUGAGGAAGUUCAAUACCAAAAAGAUAAUAGCCAUAACUGAAAGAAAAGCACAG
rnacentral:lncRNA from 1 species